UCAUUAUAACAGCUAUAAUUUACUUGAUCUUGACACAAUCCUACUUGGAUAACUGUGGUAAUUCUAGAGCUAAUACAUGCAUUAAAGCUCCGACCUCACGGGAAGAGUGCAUUUAUUAGAACAAAACCAAGCGGCUUCGGCUGUUUUCGGUUGACUCAUAGUAACUGAGCUGAUCGCAUGGGCUUGUCCCGGCGACGUGUCUUUCAAGUAUCUGCCGUAUCAACUUUCGAUGGUAGUGUAUCUGACUACCAUGGUGAUCACGCGUAACGGAGAAUAAGGGUUCGACUCCGGAGAGUUCGCCUGAGAAAUCGCGAACACAUCUAAGGAAGGCAGCAGGCGCGAAAAUUACCCACUCUCAGCACGAGGAGGUAGUGACGAAAAAUAACGAGACCGUUCUCUUAUGAGGCCGGUCAUCGGAAUGGGUACAAUUUAAACCCUUUAACGAGUAUCUAUGAGAGGGCAAGUCUGGUGCCAGCAGCCGCGGUAAUUCCAGCU
rnacentral:rRNA from 1 species